AAGCCCAGAAGGGCCCAAAUACCAGAGCAAGCCUCGGCUGCGGCUGGAGGGAGCGGGAGGCAUCGCCUGCCAGAGAAGUUCGGGGAGUUUGCUGGUGGGGGAACUGGUGGGACUGGAGAAGGGGAGAGCCUACCAGUUCCUAAUUCUGUACAAAAUGGGCAAAAGCUUGACGUGUCCCAGUCACCUCUUCUGCUUUCUCCAAAUCCACCGCUGCCUCGGAUUUGCUGGACCAGACAUCCGAGGACUGGUCAGCUUCCAAUAGACAGCUGGAAACGGCCUGUCACGUGGCCUUGGGGUGCCAAUGUUCUGCCAUAGG